UGGGGAAUUUUGGACAAUGGGCGAAAGCCUGAUCCAGCAAUGCCGCGUGUGUGAAGAAGGCCUUCGGGUUGUAAAGCACUUUUGUCCGGAAAGAAAUCCUUGGCUCUAAUACAGUCGGGGGAUGACGGUACCGGAAGAAUAAGCACCGGCUAACUACGUGCCAGCAGCCGCGGUAAUACGUAGGGUGCAAGCGUUAAUCGGAAUUACUGGGCGUAAAGCGUGCGCAGGCGGUUUGCUAAGACCGAUGUGAAAUCCCCGGGCUCAACCUGGGAACUGCAUUGGUGACUGGCAGGCUAGAGUAUGGCAGAGGGGGGUAGAAUUCCACGUGUAGCAGUGAAAUGCGUAGAGAUGUGGAGGAAUACCGAUGGCGAAAGGCAGCCCCCUGGGCCAAAUACUGACGCUCAUGCACGAAAGCGUGGGGAGCAAACAGGAUUAGAUACCCUGGUAGUCCACGCCCUAAAACGAUGUCAACUAGUUGUUGGGGAUUCAUUUCCUUAGUAACGUAGCUAACGCGUGAAGUUGACCGCCUGGGGAGUACGGUCGCAAGAUUAAAACUUAAAGGAAUUGACGGGGUCAUA
rnacentral:rRNA from 1 species